AGCGAACGCUGGCGGCGCGCCUAACACAUGCAAGUCGAGCGCAGGCAUCUUGGGGGUAACCCCGGGAUGUGCUGAGCGGCGGACGGGUGAGUAAUACGUGGAUAACCUACCUUAAGGACCGGGAUAACUCUGGGAAACUGGAGCUAAUACCGGAUAAGACCACGGUGUCUACGGACACUGGGGUAAAAGGUGGCCAGGCAACUGGCUGCCACCUUAAGAUGGGUCCACGUCCCAUCAGGUAGUUGGUGAGGUAAUGGCUCACCAAGCCUAAGACGGG
rnacentral:rRNA from 1 species